UGGGGAAUUUUGGACAAUGGGCGCAAGCCUGAUCCAGCCAUUCCGCGUGCAGGAUGAAGGCUCUCGGGUUGUAAACUGCUUUUGUACGGAACGAAACGGCUUUCUCUAAUACAGGAAGCUGAUGACGGUACCGUAAGAAUAAGCACCGGCUAACUACGUGCCAGCAGCCGCGGUAAUACGUAGGGUGCAAGCGUUAAUCGGAAUUACUGGGCGUAAAGCGUGCGCAGGCGGUGAUGUAAGACAGGUGUGAAAUCCCCGGGCUUAACCUGGGAACUGCAUUUGUGACUG
rnacentral:rRNA from 1 species